rnacentral:rRNA from 1 species
UACGGAGGGUGCAAGCGUUAUCCGGAUUUACUGGGUUUAAAGGGUGCGUAGGUGGGUCUGUAAGUCAGUGGUGAAAUCUCCGGGCUUAACCCGGAAACUGCCAUUGAUACUAUAGAUCUUGAAUAUCCUGGAGGUGAGCGGAAUAUGUCAUGUAGCGGUGAAAUGCUUAGAUAUGACACAGAACACCGAUUGCGAAGGCAGCUAACUAAGUCAUAACUGACGCUGAUGCACGAAAGCGUGGGGAGCAAACAGG